UAGAUCCAGCCAUGCCGCGUGAGUGAUGAAGGCCCUAGGGUUGUAAAGCUCUUUUGUGCGGGAAGAUAAUGACGGUACCGCAAGAAUAAGCCCCGGCUAACUUCGUGCGUGCAGCCGCGGUAAUACGAAGGGGGCUAGCGUUGCUCGGUGUUACUGGGCGUAAAGGGUGCGUAUGCGGGUCUUUAAGUCAGGGGUGAAAUCCUGGAGCUCAACUCCAGAACUGCCCCGGAUACUGAGGAUCUUGAGUUCGGGAGAGGUGAGUGGAACUGCGAGUGUAGAGGUGAAAUUCGUAGAUAUUCGCAAGGUCACCAGUGGCGAAGGCGGCUCACUGGCCCGAUACUGACGCUGAGGCACGAAAGCGUGGGGAGCAAACAGGAGGAGAUACCCUGGUAGUCCACGCCGUAAACGAUGAAUGCCAGCCGUUAGUGGGUUUACUCACUAGUGGCGCAGCUAACGCUUUAAGCAUUCCGCCUGGGGAGUACGGUAUCAAGAUUAAAA
rnacentral:rRNA from 1 species